UACGAAGGGUGCUAGCGUUGUUCGGAAUUACUGGGCGUAAAGCGCGCGUAGGCGGCUAUCCAAGUCAGAGGUGAAAGCCCUGGGCUCAACCCAGGAAUUGCCUUUGAAACUGUUUAGCUUGAGUGUCGGAGGGGAUAGCGGAAUUCCUAAUGUAGAGGUGAAAUUCGUAGAUAUUAGGAGGAACACCGGUGGCGAAGGCGGCUAUCUGGACGAAAACUGACGCUGAGGCGCGAAAGCACGGGGAUCAAACAGG
rnacentral:rRNA from 1 species